CGGAAAGGCCCCUUUGGGGGUACUCGAGUGGCGAACGGGUGAGUAACACGUGAGUAACCUGCCCUUGACUUCGGGAUAACUUCAGGAAACUGGGGCUAAUACCGGAUAGGAAUCCUUGCUGCAUGGUGGGGGUUGGAAAGCUUCGGCGGUUUUGGAUGGACUCGCGGCUUAUCAGCUUGUUGGUGGGGUAGUGGCUUACCAAGGCUUUGACGGGUAGCCGGCCUGAGAGGGCGACCGGCCACAUUGGGACUGAGGUACGGCCCAG
rnacentral:rRNA from 1 species